GCUUAAAGUUAAAGAUUGCUUAAACCAUUUUGCAAACUAUGUGAACUCCUCGAUGGUCCGCGCACCCCACAAGUAAAGAAAGUGAGCGGAUUACCUGUUCGUGAGCAUCUCACACUCACACACACACACGCGUGCUCUCUGCGCCUCCGCUCUUGAAAUCGUUUCGAUUUGUUGUUGGCCGCAGUGCUUGUUUUGCUUAUAUUAGCAAGUGUGGAGUGCAAACCAAGAACCAAUAGUCGCCGUAGCUUCGACGUGUCAGUUUCUAGUCCAGUUCAGUUUAGUUCAGUUGAUUGAUAUCAACAGCUAAAUCGCGAAGUAAAGCAGCCCCCGAACGCAGUAAGGAGAAGCAUACGAGCAAACACAGCAGAAUGGCGGAAAAAGUAAAUGUGUGCAUUGUGGGCUCCGGCAACUGGGGUUCGGCCAUAGCCAAAAUCGUGGGCGCGAAUGCGGCCGCUCUGCCGGAAUUCGAGGAGCGGGUGACCAUGUUCGUCUACGAGGAGAUGAUUGAGGGCAAGAAGCUGACGGAGAUUAUCAACGAGACGCACGAAAACGUCAAGUACCUGAAAGGACACAAGCUGCCCCCGAAUGUGGUUGCCGUGCCCGACCUAGUUGAGGCCGCGAAGAACGCCGACAUCCUGAUCUUUGUGGUGCCCCAUCAGUUUAUCCCCAACUUCUGCAAACAGCUCCUGGGAAAAAUCAAGCCGAACGCCAUCGCUAUCUCCCUGAUCAAGGGCUUCGACAAAGCCGAGGGCGGUGGCAUUGAUCUGAUUUCUCAUAUUAUCACGCGUCACCUGAAGAUCCCAUGCGCCGUGUUGAUGGGCGCCAACCUGGCCAACGAGGUGGCUGAGGGAAACUUCUGCGAGACAACCAUCGGCUGCACGGACAAGAAGUACGGCAAGGUGCUGCGCGAUCUCUUCCAGGCCAACCACUUCCGCGUGGUGGUCGUUGACGACGCCGACGCCGUGGAGGUCUGCGGCGCCCUUAAGAACAUCGUGGCCUGCGGCGCGGGCUUCGUCGACGGACUAAAGCUGGGCGAUAACACAAAGGCAGCUGUCAUCCGGCUGGGUCUCAUGGAGAUGAUUCGCUUCGUGGACGUCUUCUACCCUGGAAGCAAGUUGUCCACCUUCUUCGAGAGCUGUGGCGUGGCAGAUCUGAUCACGACGUGUUACGGUGGACGAAAUCGCCGCGUCUCUGAGGCCUUUGUAACUUCCGGCAAAACUAUUGAGGAGCUGGAGAAGGAAAUGCUUAAUGGUCAGAAGCUGCAGGGCCCGCCUACUGCCGAGGAGGUGAACUAUAUGCUGAAGAACAAGGGUCUAGAGGACAAAUUCCCCCUGUUCACGGCCAUCCACAAAAUAUGCACAAAUCAGCUUAAGCCUAAAGAUUUAAUCGAUUGCAUACGCAAUCACCCUGAGCAUAUGGAUACGUCCAUCAUGCCGUCGCCAAAACUUUAAGCUGUGUUACACCUAAACAAGAUCAGUCAAAUGUAUAUUGUAAAUAAUAUAUCUACCCGCAUAUGUAGAUCAAAUCAACACAAGUCAUCCUCACUCACGCAUAUAAAACUGGCAUUUAUAGUUACUACCAUAUGUGCAAAAAGUCAGAUACCACGUCAACUACAUUUCUAUUUCAACUUUUAUUUUAAAGCGUGUUUCUGUGCAAAGUGUUUAAGUGUUAGAUAAAACAAAGAACCAAAACAAAGAGUGUCAUAUUUGUUAAGCUUAAUUGGAAUUGUUAAAAUAAAUAUACAAAUUAAAUUUUAAUUUUGAAUAUGUGUACCACCCUAAAGUGUUCCUCAUUCAUUUGACAUAAAAUAAUUGGCAGCUUCAAAUCGGCAAAAAGGAGCAAAAUUUGUAAAUCUGAAACGAAGCCGAGAACGUUUUUAAAAUUUUAUGCACCACUGAGAGUAAAUGUAUUUUUUCAGCACUGCUCCAACUCAACGAAUCUUUCGAGUCCAUUAACUAACCAGUUAACUAUAAUGAUUGUGUAUAGGUUGAUGCAUUAGUUAGUUAGCUUAUUCUUUUAAAUCCGAAACCACGCAUAUCCAACGAACCACAGAAGAAACCUAACAACAAACACCAAAGUCUGCUUUAAUUUUAAAAUUUAGUUGUUUUUAAUCCUAACUAGCCAAGAGACAAGCGCAAGUACCUAAAAAGUAUAUUCUAAUUAUAUGGCCACGAGUAUUACAACGGUAAUCGAAGAAGCGUGUGGAAAGAAUCUUAGUCUAAUUUUAAUCGGACUGCGUAGUAACUAGAAUUAAUUGAAUACCAAAAGAUCGUUGCAAAAAUAAAAGCUGAGUAGUUUACUGGGUUGUUAA